UAUUCUAUGUUAAGAUACGACAUGGAUCGGAUAUGUCAGUGUCAAAAGUGACGUUUCUUCAAACAAAAACGUCGCUUUUGACGAUAAUCAUAAAAUCAUAAUCAUUUAUUGCAAUCAUGUCCAUACCAUGUCUACCAACCAUUUAAUGUCAAUCACGCGUUUCUAUAAAAUAAUAUCGUCUGGAAUAAGUACUAGUCGUUUAUUUGAAUCCCUAAAUCAAUAAUUUCAAAAUACGUAUUACGCUAUUUGUAUAAGUCCAGAAAUCUGCCUAAGUUAUAAAACUUAGUUUUAUUGGAGUAUGGUAUAUUAUAUGCUAUAGCAUCCAACUCCAACCAUAACUUGGCAGAAAUCAGGAGAGCAGAAAACCAAUUAAAUGCGUCCAUUGCUAAGGUCGCUUUUAGCACCUAGCUAGUGGAUAGUUCCUACCGACUUGACACCAUCAAUGUCCAGAUAAGAAAUCUAAGUAAACUGCCACGUUUGGAUAUUAAAUUACAUGCCAAAGAGUCUAGACUAGAGCCUGCAUCAACUUCAACCGAAUGCUACUAGACGAAGCUAUCAUUGUCUGUUGCUCGUGCAGAACAUGUUGAACAUAUAUGUAUACCUACACUUUUUUGGGAAACAUAUAUUUCCUAAAUUAAUAAAAAGUGCUCUAUUAUUGUAAACAAAAA